AGGAUGAACGCUGGCGGCGUGCCUAACACAUGCAAGUCGAACGUCCUGUCUCGCAAGAGGCAGGGAGUGGCGGACGGGUGAGUACCACGUGGGUCAUCUACCGUGAGGUGAGGAAUACCGGCGAGAAAUCGCCGACAAGACCGCAUAGGCUCGAUGCAAGUCGAGCAAAGCUCUUUCGAGAGAGGGAGCGCCACACGAGGAGCCUGCGCCCGAUUAGCUAGCUGGUGGAGUAAUGGUUCACCAGGGCGACGAUCGGUAGCUGGUCUGAGAGGACGAUCAGCCACACUGGGAUUGAGAACGGCCCAGACUCCUACGGGGGGCAGCAGUGAGGAAUUUUCGCAAUGGGGGCAACCCUGAACGAGCAACGCCGCGUGCAGGAAGAAGGUUUUCGGAUCGUAAACUGCUUUUCUCGGGGAAGAGAACGGACGGUACCCGAGGAAUCAGCCCGGCUAACUACGCGCCAGCAGCCGCGGU
rnacentral:rRNA from 1 species